ACAGGGAAAGGUUGUUUAUUUUUUCUCGUCCAAUUCCAGUCGUCGUACGUGUACAUGUUGUACAUGUAAUAUUGAAAUGUACAUCAUAUAACUGAAACACAUUUACGGCUCCCGAAAUAAAUCUAACAUAUUUGUACAUUUCAAUCCAAAUUUAUUUGAUAAUCAAUGAUUUACAUUAGUGAUUAUAGAUAAAAAGAAAUCUAUUAACAUGAACUUUCACUAAUGUGUAAUAUAAUUCCACUGACUUGAUCAUUAAAAAUUAUAUAAGUAAGCUCACUUUAUCAAAUAUUUAUCUCUAAAUUAGAGAACCAGUAAAGAUAGAACCAAUCAGUUCCAUUUCCAUAACGACAUGCCAGAAAUGGUACAAUUAACGGUCCAUUUUAGACAGAAAGAGUCGUAAAUUUGAUCUACAACAAGAUCUGUGGAUAAUUCCUUUUAAGGCAAGCGUCACUAUAUGUUUAUAAUGACGUUGUAGAUACGACUAUCGUCUCUUUUUAACUUAAAGGAAAAACAAAUACUUGGUAAAAAAAUAAAAAGUUAUUAGAUAUUUACUUGGCUUUAUCUGCAUUAUUUAGAAUAGAAAAGUUACAUCUGUCAACAAUCCUUAGUGCUAGUAUACAAUAAUUAAAACGGAAAAGAGGAAUUUAUUCCGUUUCCUUCUACAGUAAAAUGGGAGAAAACAAGAUUAUUAUUUAUUCACUGCUGUGAACGUAUGAAAAUAAAUGAAUAAUGAAAAAUAAAUAAUAAAAAUAAAGAUAUAAAUAAAGAUAAAAAUAAAAAUAAA